rnacentral:rRNA from 1 species
UACAGAGGGGGCUAGCGUUGUUCGGAAUUACUGGGCGUAAAGCGUGCGUAGGCGGCUUAAUAAGUCAGAAGUGAAAGCCCAAGGCUUAACCUUGGAAUUGCUUUUGAUACUGUUAGGCUUGAAGGUGGUAGAGGAUAGUGGAAUUCUUAGUGUAGGAGUGAAAUCCGUAGAUAUUAAGAGGAACACCAGUGGCGAAGGCGACUAUCUGGGCCAUUCUUGACGCUGAUGUACGAAAGUGUGGGGAUCAAACAGG